GACAGCUAGGAUGUUGGCUUGGAAGCAGCCAUUCAUUUAAAGAGUGCGUAACAGCUCACUAGUCGAGUGUUUUGGCAUGGAUAAUAAUCGGGCAUAAGCUAUUUACCGAAGCUGUGGGAUAUUUAACAUAUCGGUAGGGGAGCAUUCUAGCGACGUCGAAGGUAAGAGGACAACUCUUGCUGGAGUUUCUAGAAAAGCAAAUGUAGGUAUAAGUAACGAUAAAGGAGGUGAGAAACCUCCUCGCCGAAAGACUAAGGUUUCCUGAUCAACGCUAAUCGGAUCAGGGUUAGUCGGGCCCUAAGGGAAAGCCGAACGGCGCACCCGAUGGAUGAACCGGUUAAUAUUCCGGUACUAUUUAUGUGAGCGAUGUGGUGACGGAAGAGUGACAGUCCUGCCGACUGACGGAAUAGUCGGUUAAAGGGUGUAGAUGUAGAUGCUGGUAGGCAAAUCCGCCAGCAGAGUCGAACCUGACAGUACUAGGCGUGCAUGCACAAAUAGAUAUGGACGUAAACAGAUUCUCUAGAAAAACCGCUAAGCAUAUUGCAUGAAUACCCGUACUAAAACCGACACAGGUAGUUGGGUUGAGUAUACUAAGGCGCUCGAGUGAUUCGCGGUUAAGGAACUAGGCAAAAUAGUCCUGUAACUUCGGGAAAAAGGACGCUCCCCGUGAAAAGGGAGCCGCAGAGAAUAGGCCCAGGCGACUGUUUAACAAAAACACAUGGCUAUGCUAAAUCGAAAGAUACUGUAUAUAGCCUGACACCUGCCCGGUGCUGGAAGGUUAAGAGGAGAUGUCAUCGCAAGAGAAGCAUUGAAUUGAAGCCCCAGUAAACGGCGGCCGUAACUAUAACGGUCCUAAGGUAGCGAAAUUCCUUGUCGGGUAAGUUCCGACCUGCACGAAUGGUGUAACGAUCUGGGCACUGUCUCAACCGCGAGCUCGGUGAAAUUGUAGUAUCGGUGAAGAUGCCGAUUACCCGCAACGGGACGAAAAGACCCCGUGAACCUUUACUAUAGCUUUACAUUGUAUUUGGGUAACAGAUGUGUAGGAUAGGCCGGAGACUAUGAAGCGGGCACGCCAGUGUUUGUGGAGUCGCUGUUGAAAUACGGCCCUUUUGUUACUUGGGUACUAACUCGCAGAGCGAGGACAGUGUAUGGUGGGUAGUUUGACUGGGGUGGUCGCCUCCAAAAGCGUAACGGAGGCUUCUAA
rnacentral:rRNA from 1 species